rnacentral:rRNA from 1 species
GGGGGAUAUUGCGCAAUGGGGGCAACCCUGACGCACCAACCCCGCGUGAAGGAUGAAGGUUUUCGGAUUGUAAACUUCUUUUAUUAAGGACGAAAAAUGACGGUACUUAAUGAAUAAGCUCCGGCUAACUACGUGCCAGCAGCCGCGGUAAUACGUAGGGAGCAAGCGUUGUCCGGAUUUACUGGGUGUAAAGGGUGCGUAGGCGGCUUUGCAAGUCAGAUGUGAAAUCUAUGGGCUCAACCCAUAAACUGCAUUUGAAACUGUAGAGCUUGAGUGAAGUAGAGGCAGGCGGAAUUCCCCGUGUAGCGGUGAAAUGCGUAGAGAUGGGGAGGAACACCAGUGGCGAAGGCGGCCUGCUGGGCUUUAACUGACGCUGAGGCACGAAAGCGUGGGUAGCAAACAGGAUUAGAUACCCUGGUAGUCCACGCUGUAAACGAUGAUUACUAGGUGUGGGGGGUCUGACCCCUUCCGUGCCGGAGUUAACACAAUAAGUAAUCCACCUGGGGAGUACGGCCGCAAGGUUGAAACUCAAAGGAAUUGACGGGGGCCCGCACAAGCAGUGGAGUAUGUGGUUUAAUUCGAAGCAACGCGAAGAACCUUACCAGGUCUUGACAUCCAACUAACGAAGUAGAGAUACAUUAGGUGCCCUUCGGGGAAAGUUGAGACAGGUGGUGCAUGGUUGUCGUCAGCUCGUGUCGUGAGAUGUUGGGUUAAGUCCCGCAACGAGCGCAACCCUUGCUAUUAGUUGCUACGCAAGAGCACUCUAAUAGGACUGCCGUUGACAAAACGGAGGAAGGUGGGGACGACGUCAAAUCAUCAUGCCCCUUAUGACCUGGGCUACACACGUACUACAAUGGAUGUUAACAGAGGGAAGCAAGACAGCGAUGUGGAGCAAACCCCUAAAAACAUUCUCAGUUCAGAUUGCAGGCUGCAACCCGCCUGCAUGAAGAUGGAAUUGCUAGUAAUCGCGGAUCAGCAUGCCGCGGUGAAUACGUUCCCG